AGCAGCCGCGGUAAUUCCAGCUCCAAUAGCGUAUAUUAAAGUUGUUGCAGUUAAAAAGCUCGUAGUUGAAUUUCGGGAUCAAUAUAUCGGUCGUGCCUUGGUACGUACUGGUAUCAUUGGUUUCUCCUUUCUGACGAACCAUGAUGUCAUUAAUUUGGUGUUAUGGGAAGUUAGGACUGUUACUUUGAAAAAUUAGAGUGUUUAAAGCAGGCUUUAGCUUGAAUACAUUAGCAUGGAAUAAUGAAAUAGGACGUUCGAACCUAUUUUGUUGGUUUCUAGGAUCAACGUAAUGAUUAAUAGGGAUAGUUGGGGCAUUAGUAUUCAAUUGUCAGAGGUGAAAUUCUUGGAUUUA
rnacentral:rRNA from 1 species